ACAUUUUUCCCUCAGGUGGCAGGAGAGAAGCUUUUCCUGAGGUGUCAAGAGAGAUGCUUUCCCUCAGGUGACAGUAGUUUUCCCUCAGUGCUGAGCUAAUAUGUCCACUGUAAUCAUCGUAGAUUCCCACGGAAGGAUGAGACAUGGAUUGCUACAAGGAAAAACAAUGCUGUAUCU